GGCUUCGUGGCGGAAUGGUAGACGCCCCAGAUUCAAAAUCUGGUGUCCUUCGGGGCGUGUGGGUUCGACUCCCACCGAAGCCACCA
rnacentral:tRNA from 1 species